rnacentral:lncRNA from 1 species
GUCAUGCGUAGUUUAUAACAGCUGAGCAAUAAUAUUUCAUCGAACUAAAAUUUUAGAAAUGAUGAUAAAAUAGCAUAACAAACAUAUUGCUAGGUGAAAUAUAUAUUGAUUUUGCAUAUUUUUUUGUCUUCAAAGAUGAUUUUUUUUCUUUUUUUUUUCCCGACCGACCGACCCGACUUUUUCAUGGGGAAAAUCCGUAAACCAACAAAUUAAAAAACCGUGGCCUAAAAAAUCAAACA